UACGUAGGGGACGAGCGUUGUCCGGAAUUACUGGGCGUAAAGGGCGCGCAGGCUGCGCGUCGAGUCGGCUGUUAAAGAUCCGGGCUUAACCCGGUGAAGCGGUCGAGACCGACGAGCUGGAGUGCUGCAGAGGCAAGUGGAAUUCCCGGUGUAGCGGUGAAAUGCGUAGAUAUCGGGAAGAACACCGGUGGCGAAGGCGACUUGCUGGGCAGCAACUGACGCUGAGGCGCGAAAGCCAGGGGAGCAAACGGG
rnacentral:rRNA from 1 species